AAUAUUGCGCAAUGGACGGAAGUCUGACGCAGCGACGCCGCGUGAGCGAUGAAGGCCUUCGGGUCGUAAAGCCCUGUCCUUGGGGAAGAAGGUCUUCGGACUUGACGGUACCCAAGAAGAAAGCCCCGGCUAAUUACGUGCCAGCAGCCGCGGUAAUACGUAGGGGGCGAGCGUUGUCCGGAAUUACUGGGCGUAAAGGGUGGGUAGGCGGCCCUUUAAAUCAGAUGUGAAAGGCCACGGCUUAACCGUGGGAUUGCAUUUGAAACUGGAGGGCUUGGGUGUCGGAGAGGGUAGUGGAAUUCCCCGUGUAGCGGUGAAAUGCGUAGAUAUUGGGAGGAACACCAGUGGCGAAGGCGACUACCUGGACGAUAACUGACGCUGAGGCACGAAAGCUAGGGGAGCAAAC
rnacentral:rRNA from 1 species